GAGGGAAUAAGAAUUGGGGGGCCCUUCCGGGGAACCGCCAGGUAACCAGGGUGCCUUGCAUUGGCCGGUUCGUCCAGGCUCCGUGUUCGGUGGAGAAUGUUUGGGGUGUAAAGUUUCCCCGUUAAACCGAGGCGGCCACCCCCCUAAUCCCCUCCACGCUAAGCCAGCCACCGGCUACUGGUGGGGCACCUCCUGGGGAGGACUGCCGGUGACCACCCCGGAGGAAGGUGGGACGACGUCAGUCAUCAUGGGCUCACGGCCAGGGCUACACACGUGCUACAAUGGUGCAUACAGACGGGUCGCUGAAGCCGCGAGGUGGAGCUAAUCUGAGAAAGUGCAUCGUAGUCCGGAUUGGAGUCUGCAACUCGACUCCAUGAAGUCGGAAUCGCUAGUAAUCGUGAAUCAGAAUGUCACGGUGAAUACGUUCCCGGGCCUUGUACACACCGCCCGUCACACCAUGGGAGUGGGUUGCUCCAGAAGUGGCUAGUCUUAGCAUUCGGGAGGACGGUCUACCACCGGAGUAUUCAGCUCAACUGGGU
rnacentral:rRNA from 1 species